rnacentral:tRNA from 1 species
GCCUGGGUGGCUCAGUUGGUUGAGCAUCCGACUUCAGCUCGGGUCAUGAUCUCACGGUUUGUGGGUUCGAGCCCCACGUUGGGCU